GUUCUAGCUAUAAAAUUCAUAAAAUACUUUAAUAAAAGCUCCAUAAAAUGUCAACACCCUGUCUGAGAUUCUGUCCCAUUUGAAAUGAAAACCAAGGCUAACAUAAACAAAUUACAAAGAAGUUAGUUUUUGAUAUAUAAAACCCAGUUUUUAGAAUAUGAUGCUAUUUUUGAUGAAAUAGUGAAAGAGAACAAAGCUGGAUUUGACUUGAUUCUCUUGAUGAUACAGUCAGAGUUUAUAAAUCUGUGUUGCUCCUGUGUCUGCACAGACAGAAUCUGGAGAUGUUAAUUUUUUGUCAUUUGGCUUCUAGAUGUCCUUGGCGUGUACACCCUGUGGAAUCUGGUUCAUCUUCAAUCUGUCAGAAGGCAUCAGAGGUGGUUUUGACUCCUUAUGUCUUGGACCUGUGCACAAAAAGUACGGGCAGGAGAGGAUGCAGGAGACUGUACAAAGUUCAAGAAACGAUAUGCUUUAAUCAAGGUAAGAAACUGGGAGAAGAGAGGAAGUGGCAAAUAUGUUUAGGUUAUAUGAGAUUCUUAUAGAGAAUGAAAGGGAAUUCAUUGAGGCCACAUUUUAGAAGGUUGUGAUCAGAAUGUUUUGUUUAUCCUAUAUCUAAUGAUUUUUGAUGAAAAAUUUACAAACAGGAUAAAAUGCUCUUUUAGGGAGACUGACCCAGUGGCAGGACGUGAUAUAAAUUAAAGGGAUGGGGGCCUAACAUUUGUUCAUAGUCUCAUUUUUCCCCCCACAUGACUAAAUAUUCAUGUUCUCCUUUGUUUUUCUCCAUGGAUGGAGUCUCCAUCCAUAAAACUGCUUCACAGAGUUUCACCUCCUGCCUAUGCUGACAGGGGCCUUCCUCUCUUUCCUGGGUGUGGGUGGCAGUGUCCGUAAAGCUGCCAGCCCUGAGUGUCACAAGAGUGCAGGGUGUGAGGAAACAGCAGGGAGAAAGGCUUUCCCCAACUCAGAAUCGCACUUGUGCCAAGAGUUACCCAAAGACUCUCAUGAAAAUAUUUCAAUAUCUCAGGCUUUCUAAGAAUCACAGGAAAUCUCUCAUAAGACUGUCCUGUUACUUUUUCACCUUUACCUCUGGAACCUUGAAUGCAUCAGGCAGGGAAUGAUGCCAUCGCCUUCAUUAUUCUUGUCUCCCCUAAUUUGAUGGCUUCUGGUCGCAACUAAACUUUUCUUGCUUAAUUAUAAAACAACAGUUCACACAAAUCAAUGGGGCUGGUGUGUAUUUAAUAUCAAUGAGUGGAAGAAGGGGUCUUCUCUACAGCUCAGCCACCCACCCAAAUGCUGUGUUUGAUUCUGGUUCUGUAAUCUGCUAUUUACAGUUAAGCCUCUGGAAAAGUAGCAAUUUAGGGGGUUUUCCUUCAUCUCACUCCCACUGUUCCCUUCCCUUAAUACACCUUUUCCCACUGGAGCAUAUUUAAAAGAGAUGCAAAUGCUUAAAAUAUGUUUGAGGAUAGGAGGGGUUUUUCAACUCCUGGCCCUUUUUGUAGGCUUAUUGACUGUUAGCACCUUUUUGUUAUUUAUAAAGAGGAAGAAGACUGAGAAUCUUUCUGCCAUGAUAUUUCUCAAAGUGUGCCAAAUAAGUAGAUUACUACCUGCCUUAUUCAUCUAUAAGAUGACUCUGUUCUGGUAACUUUGGCAUAGUUCUAUAAAAAGGGAAACUACCUGUUUAGACUUGCUUGGAAGUUAUCUAAUAAUUACCAAUUCAAAUGUAAUGGGAUUAAAUAUAUUGCUUUGAAAAUAAGAGGUAAAAUCAUUUUUAGGUGUAUAUUUUUGGAAUGAUAACACUGUUUUAUAGUGUUUUAAUUUCAGUAGCACCAGUGUAACAGCUGAAUAGCUAUUAGAGAAAUGCAUUAAUUAAAAACUGUGGAUCAAUUAUGGAUGAGAAUUUCUUAUUAGUUUUUAUAUGGCCUUGUGCCUUUUUGAGGACUGUGAUUUUGUACAAAUUUUAAUUGAAGAUAUAUCUCUGCUUCUUCAUAACUCAUGAAAUUCAAUAUAUUCUCUCUUGCAGACAGCACCGAUGACUAUAUUAAUUUAGAAAGAACCAAGUUCAAGUGUCAAAAACAAGUUAAACCAUUGAUGUUAUUAGACAAUACCAAGUUCACCUAACAUUUAUGGAGCCCCUAGUCUAGCUAGACAUUAUGCUAUUAAAUGAUAUUGCUUACGUAACUUAUGAUUCUUCAAAGGGAGGAAUGACAUAGGUAUUCAUAUUCACAUUUUACAGAUGAGAAAUGUGAAAUCUGAACAAGUUAGAUGGUGACUCCAUGUCUAGUGAGUUACAGAGGUGGAAUUUGUAGCCAGAGUUCCUGAUGCUAAUGUGGAAGUUAAGAAGUGAUUUUGCUAUUAUUGAAUUUAUGACCUCAGUUUAACUCAUCUACCUCAAAAUCUGCAAAAGUUUUCUGGAACUAUUAAAAGAGUCAACAUUCUUGUGAAUUAUUACACAUAUUUGGUGGAUGAGGGCAAAAUAUGAGAAAAUUACAUUCUUCUUUCUGAUAGGAAUAUUCCUUUAAGUAAAUAAACAGCAUAUACUUCCUUUUUAAUUAUUAUUUUUAGGCGAUAAAAGGCAAUUAAAUAACCCGACUAUAAUUUUAUUAUUAUGUUUUAG
ensembl:lincRNA